UUCAUCUCUAAUAUGUAUCCAAAUAAGUUACCUGAAUCGCAAUGUACGCAUUAAGAAGAGCCAUCGCAAGGUUAUAUGGUACAAGUGCCCAUGUUUUGGUGAAUCGACCAAGAGCCAUCCUCUCGUUCUUUCAUCUACGAUCACAUUGGGCAAUGACAGAGAGUUGCUGUGGAAUUAAUUAUGCCCGCCAUUGCCUGCAACAAAGUCGAAAUAAGGAUUGUUAGUUUUGGAAUCAAGAUUUCUUCAAACUAGCGAGCAGGAAAUUCAUAAUACAUUCUUUACACUUCGUGUAUACCACCCGUGGAAUAUUUUCAACAGAAGAAAUUGGAAACGGUCUAAAAUGUAUUCCAUGAUAGUAGACACCAGGGACAUUCGUGAGUCUUAUCUUUUACCGCAAACAAUUAUGUAUUUCAUCGUUAAGAACACGCAACUUUCUGCACACGCUAUAUAGGCAUACAUAUUCUACGCAUUCAAUAUUCAGUUACUAAUAAAAUAAAAAAUAAGCAUAUAACCUGUUAUCUCAGAUCAGUCUUCUAAUUAAUAUGAAAUUGGAAAGGCAAUUUUUUUUUCUUCGAUUCGUUAUCAAUUAAAUCGACAUUCUUAUCAUCGAACAGAUAUCGAAAUAAAAAAAUGUAGAUCGAUAACAGUUGUAUACGUGACGUUGAUAAAAAACGGAGAAGUCACGUUACGCUAUCUAAACGAACAAAAUACGUUUCUAGCAAUGUCAAUGUCAACGUAUGUGUCAAUGCAGUAAUUUACCCGGUGUUUUUCUUCAAUUAAACUCAUGACUGAGGGAUCGGAUGCUGGCUGGCACUUUCUUCUCUAUAUGCAUGGUUCACCUCGAUCACCUCACUUUCGAGGUCAAUGUCUAGACUCCGGGAGAUCAGAAAUGGUAUUCUGACAUUUUGCAUCAACACUUUCUUUAAUCGUCAUUUAUAUUUGUUUCAUCAUGCUUCACAUCUUAAUAACUUUAUAUUUAAUUUAAUAAUAGGACUCUUGUUGUAGGAACCUUCAAACAAAUUCCAAUGCAAAUCACUGCUGUGUGAAAGCAUAAUUUUUAAUCUUUGCCCACGGCAAUAUAACGAGAGUUUAAAAUAAACUUAUUACUACUUCGCUUAAAUUCAUACUUUCGAUCAAUAAAUCAGUAGAAACUGAUUACCAUAUUCUUCAAAUCGAGUGUCAAAUCUUUUAUUCAUGCAUUUAUAUUUUUUGCAAACGAUUCUUUUGAGAUGCACGAAUGUAUAAAUAAAUUUAUAUUAACGUUGAACGAUAUUCUCGUGUUAUGUCGUAUUUCAGAACUGUCAUAAUAAAUUUAUUUAUUGCAACAAGUACAAAAAGAAAGACAGCUUUCUAAUUACGACUUUCUUGUUUUGUAAUCAGAAUUAAUGAAUAAAAUUCACAGCGAUCAAUUUCUAAAUAUUUAGUAAUCAAUCUUGUAACCGAUCGAUUGUUAUGCUUUUACGGUUUCUUUCGUACAGUCUUGAUUUUCGUUCUUUUCCCUGCGCGAUUUCUCUGCAUCCCGGUGUAACAGUCGCCGAAGAAGCAGCGAAAGUGAAAUCUUAAAUGCAAGUAUAGCAUGCAGAGCACGUGCAUCUGGAUCGUAAUUCCACUUUGUUUACUAUCGAGACUGUAAUAUUCUAUAAAUAACGUUUAAAGAUAAUUGAAGGGUGAGAAAAAAUAACUUUCAACGAGCGAAGAAAAUGACAUAUUAGACUGCUGACGAUAAAAUGGCUGAAUUAUUCAGCAAACUUUCGACUACAACUUUCCUGAAAAUAUUCACCGAUCAAAUCGGCAUUCUUACAGCUGUGAGUUGUUUAAAAUCGAGGAAGAAUGUUAAAAUUAAUUUUUAUAAAAAUUAUUUACGUUGGUAUACGAAGUUAAAAAAA
rnacentral:lncRNA from 1 species